GGUUUAGCUAAUUGGUGUAUAACAAAUGCUGUGUAUGGUAGCUUCUGUUUUCAUCUCCAGAACCUAUACUUUGCUGAAUACAACAUACAGUGACCAUGUUUUAAGUAUGGAUCACAGGAUCUGAAAAGGUGGAGAAUUUAUAUGCUGAGUAUUACUCUCUUCCAGAAUUGGAUGAAUUCUGCUAUUUGAGCAGCUCCUGUGUGUCUGGUCACUGGGGACAUAGAAACAGGACUCGCACAGGACUCCUUGUCCCUGGCGGGAACCUCAAGGGGGCAGUCCCGGCCGGGGAGCUGGGUGUGGCCGGGCGGGAACCGGGAGGCUCCCACCCAGGGCCCCGCCUUGCCUCGGCUCCAGCCGCCAGGGGCGCUCCGGGCCCAGGGCAGCACGGGGGCUGGCGGCUGGGCUCAAGCUCCGUGCACCGAUUCGGGGCCGGCCGCGGGGAGGCGGGGAUCGGGCGACCGGAGGCCGGGACUUCGGCACCCUUCGGGGGAGUCGCGCAGAGAAAGCGCCCUCUUGGCCGCCACCAGAGCCGCGCCGCGGAGACGCCGGAUCGGGAGCUGCAGCAGCGCCGGGAGCAGAAGCGGCGGCGGCUCAAGCACCUGGAGUCCUCGGGCGUCUGGAGCCUCUGAGCCGCCGUCCGCGGGGCGCCGUGGUGCGCGCUGGGCCGGGCCCUCCAACCCCGGGAGCAGCAGGGGGCGGACCCGUGAGGAGCCUGGUGCCUGCGAUGGGACUUCAAGUCCUCACUGGGUGGGGAGCGAGGUAGGGAACCGCCCACCCUGGAAGGCGCCCUGGAGUCGGUGGCGCAGUUAUGAACAACCUCCUCCUGGGCUCAUCAAGGUUGGUGUGAAGUUUGUACUCUUGGUUAUUCCACUAGACAUACUUGCGGACUUAGUAACGUGUUACGAAAAAUGGUUGCAAGAUGUUUAAAUCUCCUUUUACCAAAAGCCUGUUUCUUUUCUGUGGAUGCCUGAGGGGUCAUAAUUUUUAGUUUUGUCACAAGCCUCUGCCUUUGUGGAAAUUUCCUCAGCCGUGUUUCCCUUCCCUGAAGAACCGGUGCAGACCCACGUGGGCUCCUUGGCCGUGCCCCUUCUCUCUUGCUGGUGACGGCAUCUCUAAGCUCCACUGCCUCCUUUUCCUGUCAGCCUCACCCGGCUCUGCCCCUCGGUCCAUCCUGCGCUGGUUUCUUGAAUAUGAGCAGCUCAGAGAGCAGUAAACUGUGAGACCCGACAGCUCAGCCAGUCCAGCUCCCCAAUGCAGGCCUCCCUUCUGCAGCUCCCUGGCCACAGUACCAGGGUGUGUGUGCACGAGGGAGGCUUAGAGUGGCAGGCCAUGGCCGAGAAAACUUGCUGUCUCACAGCUCUCAAUGAGGAAAGAUUGUUGGCUGGGCUCAGUGGCACAUGCCUGUAAUCCCAGCACUCUGGGAGACCGAGGCGGGUGGAUCACCUGAAGUAAGGAAUUUGAAACCAGCCUGGCCAACAUGGCAAAACACUGUCUCUACUGAAAAU
rnacentral:lncRNA from 1 species